rnacentral:rRNA from 1 species
AGAGUUUGAUCCUGGCUCAGGACGAACGCUGGCGGCGUGCUUAACACAUGCAAGUCGAACGGAGUACCCUCGAAAGAGAUUUCGGUCAAUGGAGAGGACUACUUAGUGGCGGACGGGUGAGUAACGCGUGAGGAACCUGCCUUUCAGAGGGGGACAACAGUUGGAAACGACUGCUAAUACCGCAUAACGUACGGGUAUCGCAUGGUACUGGUACCAAAGAUUUAUCGCUGAGAGAUGGCCUCGCGUCUGAUUAGCUAGUUGGUAGGGUAACGGCCUACCAAGGCGACGAUCAGUAGCCGGACUGAGAGGUUGGCCGGCCACAUUGGGGCUGAGAUACGGCCCAGACUCCUACGGGAGGCAGCAGUGGGGAAUAUUGGGCAAUGGGCGCAAGCCUGACCCAGCAACGCCGCGUGAAGGAAGAAGGCUUUCGGGUUGUAAACUUCUUUUGACAGGGAAGAGCAGAAGACGGUACCUGUCGAAUAAGCCACGGCUAACUACGUG